UUUCCAUUGAUUUGUUUCUCUUUCCCCUUUGUGUUGUAUCUGUUUUACAUCACAUUGUAUGCUUCAUCUAGUAAUCCUUCUUUGCAAAGUCAUUGAAAAGUCUGUUGAAGCCUAAUCAUGCUUUGAUGUUUAUACAUAAAAAAGACUUUAUAAAGAAGGAUUACAAUAUGAAGCAUUCAUGUGUAAGGGUUUCUCUUGCAGGAGUAUGUAACGAAGCAGUGCAACUUACUGGUGAGAUAGUUAUAAAGGGAUUCCAAAAAUCAAGGAUCGAUUUGCUAUGUUGUGAGUUAUUGAAUUCCUCGAGUCCAAGGUCUACAGAAGUUAGUUUAGGGAUAGUCAUUAAGGACAAUGGAUUUGACAUUACAACAGAGUUUAGCAGUUUGACAAAGGACAAUGUUAGUUGAUUUUUGAGAGGCUCGAGGAGAACUGGAGAAGUCAAGUCUGAAUGGGGACAACAUGGAUGAAAUUGGUCCAUUCUGCAUUCAAGGAGCCACAAAUGAUCUUGACCUUUUUUCCUAUGAAAGGCAUAUCCCCAAGAAGGAUUACUUUGUCAAUCAAGGUAAGUGUCUGGAUAUGAAUAUGGCAAUAUGCACAAAUCAUCAGGCACUUUGAUGCAUGUAAUGAACUUUUCUUGACCUGUUAUUUCAUAUGCUAUGCAUACAUUGAGUAAAUACAGCCAUAGUCCAAGUCAUGAUCAUUAGAAUGCGUUGAUGAAAAAUACUUAAAUACUUGAAAUAUACCAUGAAUUAUGGAAUAAUAUACAGUGGAUUUCCCAUUUUCCUUGAAGGAUAUUGUGAUGCAAAUUGGAUAUCACAUUCGUAUGAGAUGAAAAUCCAUACUUCUGUUUUCACCCUUAGUGGGAGUGUAGUGGCUUGAAAGUCUGCAAAAUAAUCCAUAUUUUCCAAGUUAAUUAUGGAAUUAGAGUUUAUAACUUCAGAGAUGGUAAGCAAUGAAUUGAAAUGGCUAAGAAAUUACCCUAGUUGAAGGAUACAUUUUCUCUGCAAUUCAUUAGCGCAAAGGUUUGGUUGCUGGCUUUGUCAAGCUAAACGAAAUUUCGGUUGGAAACUUUUUGAUAGUUGUCUUCUGUUUACUUUAGGAUUUGACAAAGUGUUUCUACAAGCUCAAACACGUUGGCUGAAACCUUUAGUAGUGUUCUUCAUAUUACAAAUCAUGAAAGUUUUCACUUAUCAGAGCCACCUCUAACGCCACCUAAUGGUCAUAGUUGGUGUAAGACAAAGGACAGCAGAACUACCGGGGAAGCAUAUUAACGACUUAGAAAAUUUCUCAUACAUUAAUCAAAUUUCUCAAGUAGAAAAGUGUAAAGGUUCCUCUAUGCUGGUCUCUUGUUUUGUGAAAUUCUCAUGCUUCUUGAAUUGGUUGGCUGUAUUUGAAUUCUGUAAUGAACCCUUGCUGCUGUGUUUUCUAUCAUUAGAUUUUUCAUUUGCUUGGGAUUGGGUAGUUGUGUUUCUAGGCUUAUACUAUGUUUCUACUCCAGGUUUUUCACUUAGCAUGGGCUGUCCUUGGAAGGGUGUACUGGGGAGGUUGGUGUUAGAACUUAAUUCAAACAGGAUUGAUUUAGUCUUUAUAAUAUUCUUCAAGAUUUUAGGAAUAAUAGUUUUUAAGUUUGUUGCAUUUCAAUUUUUAAAAUAAUGAUCUAAUCUUGACUAAGUAUUGAGAUUUAUAUGGGAUUUUAUUUUAUUUAGUUAGACUUUUGCUAUAUAAAUAGCACAUUUAAUAGUCUUUGAAUCAAUAGAGUUGUAUAGAUUGUUUCUUCUUAUUCAAUAAAAAUGUUCUUUAUUUUUCUGCAUUUAUUUUUGUUCUAACAGUUGGAUGACCAGGGUUUAGUUGGACUUCACAUGCUAAGUUCUUCCAAGAUACAUUAAUAAAAUUUAUUUGCUUAUCGGAAAAAAAAAAUGUUAACGGCUCCUCCUGAAUCUUCUAGCCAGUUAUCACCCGUGUGCUAUUCUGUUUUGUGGCCUCCUCGCUCUUCCCCUUCACGUGCAGGAUCUAGUUCUUCCAUUCAAGUUCAAGGAUUUGCCUUUGAUUUUACAUCUGAUGUUAAUACAAAUCGGGAAUUCUGUGCCUUGGUAGGUUGAAUAGGCUGGUAUGAAUCUUUAUGACUUAAUUGCCAAUCGUAGACUCAGAAAAUAUUUAAUUAUUGUCUUAUUGGUGUACAUAUUUUGUGAUAAAGUUUAGGCUUUUUGAAAGCUGGUGUUGG